UUGUUCAUGAUAAGAUGAGUCAUGUCAUCUUUCCUAACUAAGUUAAUAUGCUUUAUUGUUCUAGGAUGCUCUGUUGAUGAAAACAGAAGUAUAAAGGCUGUAUCAAGGGAUCUGAAAUGCAGCAUUGUUGUGGAAAAUGGGGUCCAGGAAGGUGGAAGCUUUGCCAAAGUUCACCUGGCUGGUAAGUAGCAGCUUCGUAUGAUCAUUUGCAAUGACCAUAUGACUUGGAUAAAUAUACAACAAUCAAAUAUUUGAUAUUAUUGAUGAAUGGCACCACUGUCCUUCCUACUUACGUUCUUCAUAUUUUCUAGAUUAAUAAGAGAAAUGAACUUAAGAAGUAAUAUGAGUGGGUCUUUUAGAAAAGGGCAGAGGAUGAUUUGAACUGAUGAGGUUGUAUAUCAAAUUUGAAGGAAGUAUUGUGAAAGACUCCAUCAUUUCCUAAUUACAAGUCUAUCUUGGAAAAAAAAAGGAAAAAAAAACCCUCACCUUCCAUCUUAGAAUCAAUUCCAUGUUAGGCAGUAAGGGUUAAGUGACUUACCCAGGGUCAUGUAAGUAGGAAGUAUCUGAGUUCAGAUUUGAACCCAGAACUUUCCAUUUCUAGGCCUGGCUCUAAAUCCACUGAGCCACCUUGCUAUCUGCUCCCCACUAAAAGUCAAUCUUAAAGGCUCAGUGUUAAGACUUAUUCUCAUCAUAUUACAUGUGUUUUAAUAGGCUGCUUAGUACUUUAUGAAAAAAAUUACAUCUCUCUAGCACAGAGUACUACUACAUAAAAAGCAAGGAUCUGGCUUAGGUGAUCCUUUAUUUCUCUAAAUUUCAGAAUUGUUGCUUGUGAAAACAUUGCAUUAUUCUAAGUAUAUUCCUAAGCAUGAUCUUAUAGCCUCCAUUUCAUUUGGAAAAAUAUCUCAGGGCUUAAGUGUAUUUUAAGCUAUGAGUCUAUAGUGUGACAUGGUAGGCCUCCAAAGCUAAUGUGGUUUUAAAAAAGCAGUAAUAGAGAUAUAAUAUCUGUGAAUAAGGGAAUGAUCAUGUCAUUCUCCUCUGCCCUGCUCAAAUCAGAUCUGGAAUGUUGUGUUUAAUUCUGCUCGCCACAUUUUUAGAAAACCACUGAUAAGCUGGAGAAAGUGCAGAGGAGGACAAUUAAGAUGCUGAAGUAUCACUAGUUUGUGUCAUAUAAAGGCUGAUUGAAGAAAUGGUGAUGUGAGGAUAUUUAAUCUAGACUGAGAAGAUUUGGGAGGUAAAGAGAACAUGAUAACUCUAUUUGAAGGACUAUGAGACUAAAGAAUGAUAAGACUGGUUUAGGGGUUGAAGCAAGGAAAAACUCCUUAAUUAUUACAGCCAUUCCAAAGUGGAAGAAGAGAUGAGAAGAUGAGAGAUGCUGGUGUGUCUCUCACUGGAGAUCGUUAAGCAAAAGCUGGAGGACCACUUGUUAGGGACAUGAUUCUAAGGGUCUUUUUUCUGAUUGAAACCCAUUAUGACUGAGGUUGCACAGAGCUCUAAAACCUUGGGUUUCCGGGAUUUUCACAUCGGGUUAGUAUAACAAUUCAAUAAGAUGAUGUCUAUAAAGUCCUUUGUAAGCAUAUGCAAAUGUAGUCUGUGAGCUGUUGGUAUUAUUAUUGCUCGGCUGAGAAAAGCCAUAAACUUACACAUGUUCAUUUCACAGUUAUCUUCUUCUGUCCCUCAUGCCAUCCUGCUUUCUCUGUCCAUUGCCUGAUACUAACCCAAUAAUUGUAAUUAUUUGGUAAACACAUAGACAUUUGAAAUAAAGAAGAUGAGGCCCUAUGCCA
ensembl:lncRNA